UACAGAGGUCUCAAGCGUUGUUCGGAUUCAUUGGGCGUAAAGGGCGUGUAGGUGGCGCCGUAAGUCGGGUGUGAAAUUUCGGAGCUUAACUCCGAAACUGCAUUCGAUACUGCGGUGCUUGAGGACUGGAGAGGAGACUGGAAUUUACGGUGUAGCAGUGAAAUGCGUAGAUAUCGUAAGGAAGACCAGUGGCGAAGGCGGGUCUCUGGACAGUUCCUGACACUGAGACACGAAGGCCAGGGGAGCAAACGGG
rnacentral:rRNA from 1 species